rfam:Anopheles atroparvus strain EBRO unplaced genomic scaffold supercont1.70, whole genome shotgun sequence.
AAAAAGGUCCUUUUCAGGACCACCGACAAUAUUAUAUAGCUGAAUG